AGUGAACGCUGGCGGUAGGCCUAACACAUGCAAGUCGAACGGCAGCACAGUAAGAGCUUGCUCUUACGGGUAGCGAGUGGCGGACGGGUGAGGAAUACAUCGGAAUCUACUUUUUCGUGGGGGAUAACGUAGGGAAACUUACGCUAAUACCGCAUACGACCUACGGGUGAAAGCAGGGGAUCUUCGGACCUUGCGCGAUUGAAUGAGCCGAUGUCGGAUUAGCUAGUUGGCGGGGUAAAGGCCCACCAAGGCGACGAUCCGUAGCUGGUCUGAGAGGAUGAUCAGCCACACUGGAACUGAGACACGGUCCAGACUCCUACGGGAGGCAGCAGUGGGGAAUAUUGGACAAUGGGCGCAAGCCUGAUCCAGCCAUACCGCGUGGGUGAAGAAGGCCUUCGGGUUGGAAAGCCCUUUUGUUGGGAAAGAAAAGCAGCAGGUUAAUACCCCGCUGUUCUGACGGUACCCAAAGAAUAAGCACCGGCUAACUUCGUG
rnacentral:rRNA from 1 species